rnacentral:rRNA from 1 species
CCUACGGGAGGCAGUAGUGGGGAAUAUUGGGCAAUGGGCGCAAGCCUGACCCAGCAACGCCGCGUGAAGGAAGACGGCUUUCGGGUUGUAAACUUCUUUUAAGAGGGAAGUGCAGAAGACGGUACCUCUUGAAUAAGCCACGGCUAACUACGUGCCAGCAGCCGCGGUAAUACGUAGGUGGCAAGCGUUGUCCGGAUUUACUGGGUGUAAAGGGCAUGUAGCCGGGCUGACAAGUCAGAUGUGAAAUCCGGGGGCUCAACCGCCGAACUGCAUUUGAAACUGGUGGUCUUGAGUAUCGUAGAGGCAGGCGGAAUUCCUAGUGUAGCGGUGAAAUGCGUAGAUAUUAGGAGGAACACCAGUGGCGAAGGCGGCCUGCUGGACUUUUACUGACGCUGAGGCUCGAAAGUGUGGGGAGCAAACAGGAUUAGAUACCCCUGUAGUC